rfam:Capsicum annuum cultivar Zunla-1 unplaced genomic scaffold scaffold7909, whole genome shotgun sequence
GUCCCUUUGGGGACAUUCAAUAAAAUUGGAACAAUGUAAAGAAGAAUUGCGUGGCCCUUGCGCAAGAAUUGCACUCACAAAUUGAGAAAUGGUCCAAAUUUCU